UACAGAGGGUGCGAGCGUUGUCCGGAAUCACUGGGCGUAAAGGGCGCGUAGGCGGUUUGGCAAGUCUAUGGUGAAAGCUCGCCGCUCAACGGCGAGUCGGCCACGGAUACUGCUGAACUGGAGCACUGUAGAGGCAGGUGGAAUUCCGGGUGUAGCGGUGGAAUGCGUAGAGAUCCGGAAGAACACCGGUGGCGAAGGCGGCAUCCUGGACCGACACUGACGCUGAGGAGCGAAAGCCAGGGGAGCAAACGGG
rnacentral:rRNA from 1 species